rnacentral:rRNA from 1 species
AUACGGAGGAUGCGAGCGUUAAUCGGAAUUACUGGGCGUAAAGCGCGCGUCGGCGGUUAGAUAAGUCUGAUGUGAAAGCCCUGGGCUUAACCUGGGAAUGGCAUUGGAUACUGUUUGACUAGAGUGCGGGAGAGGAGAGUGGAAUUCUCGGGGUAGCGGUGAAAUGCGUAGAGAGCGGGAGGAACACCAGUGGCGAAGGCGGCUCUCUGGACUGACACUGACGCUGAGGUGCGAAAGCGCGGGUAGCAAGCAGGAUUAGAUACCCCGGUAGUCC